rnacentral:rRNA from 1 species
AACAGGAUUAGAUACCCUGGUAGUCCAUGCCGUAAACGAUGAUUACUAAGUGUUGGAGGGUUUCCGCCCUUCAGUGCUGCAGCUAACGCAUUAAGUAAUCCGCCUGGGGAGUACGACCGCAAGGUUGAAACUCAAAAGAAUUGACGGGGGCCCGCACAAGCGGUGGAGCAUGUGGUUUAAUUCGAAGCUACGCGAAGAACCUUACCAGGUCUUGACAUCUUCUGCCAACCUAAGAGAUUAGGCGUUCCCUUCGGGGACAGAAUGACAGGUGGUGCAUGGUUGUCGUCAGCUCGUGUCGUGAGAUGUUGGGUUAAGUCCCGCAACGAGCGCAACCCUUAUUACUAGUUGCCAGCAUUCAGUUGGGCACUCUAGUGAGACUGUCGGUGACAAACCGGAGGAAGGUGGGGACGACGUCAAAUCAUCAUGCCCCUUAUGACCUGGGCUACACACGUGCUACAAUGGAUGGUACAACGAGUCGCGAAACCGCGAGGUUUAGCUAAUCUCUUAAAACCAUUCUCAGUUCGGACUGUAGGCUGCAACUCGCCUACACGAAGUCGGAAUCGCUAGUAAUCGCGGAUCAGCAUGCCGCGGUGAAUACGUUCCCGGGCCUUGUACACACCGCCCGUCACACCAUGAGAGUUUGUAACACCCAAAGCCGGUGGGGUAACCUUUUAGGAGCUAGCCGUCUAAGGUGGGACAGAUGAUUAGGGUGAAGUCGUAACAAGGUAACC